GCCCCGAUCCGCCUCGGCCAGGAGCUGGUCCCCCACGGGACAGCCUCACUCUCCCAUUUUGUCCCGACGCUGCUGGGGCUGCUGCCGCGGUGUCCGGUGGGGCAGGGCGAGAAGUUGCUAUUCCAUUCAACUGCAAAAAUACUUGCACUGACCCUGGAAACAGAAUGGAGAAAUAGAAGGAAACAGAUUUCUGUAAAACAGCUACUUCCCUGCUCUAUGUUAUUGCCAUCUUGGGGACCCUUCUGUUACCACACUCACAAGCUCCAGCAUGUAAAUGUCUGAUGUUGCAAGUUCAUUCCAAAGGUCUCCAUGUCUUGGCCAGAGCAAUAGAGGCAAAUGACAGGCAGUCCCGUCCUUCACCAGUUUUCCAGAGAAAUAAUUCAUCUAUAAGCCUGAUGUUAACUUUCGAUUAAAAUACGUACUCUUCAUCAUUUUAGGACAGUAUCUUUCCACUCACUGGAUAUCAGUCAAAUACCAAUUUCAUAUCUUCUAUGCUGUGCGUUUAUUUACUUAUCAUUUUUCUUAAAGUGUGUCACGUUUUAAAUGUAAACUUUAAAGUAAAUUAAGUGGAAAACUUUACAUCAUUAUAGAAGUUGGAAAAAGAAAAUCAAAAAGAACAAGAAGAAGAUGGAAAAACAGAAUCACUUUCCAUAAAUGGCAGGUAACCAUUUUUUAAAAAGCAGGAAACAGUGUUAUAUUCUGUUUACUUACUGUUGCUUGCUUAAGGCUCCAAGCCUAAUGCCAACUCUGACUUAUUAAAAGAAAAAAGGAUAUUAGCAAGUAUUGAAGGAACAUGAAAAAUUGAAACUUUCUCCUGGAAGUAAUCAGAUUACAAAGAAAAUUGCAAUAAUGUUCUCAGCAUAGUUAAAACCUUGUCUGAAUCACACCUAAAAUCUCUCAACAACUGUCAUAUAUAACACAUAGAAGUGUUCAUUAUAUUUAUCGUAUUGUACAUUGUAUCCCUAGUACUUACCUUAUAACUGGAAAUUUGUACAUUUUGACUGACUUCAUCCACUUCUUUCUCCCAUCACCUGCCUUAUCUUUGGUAACCACAAUUUGAUCUCUUUUUCUGUGUUGGUUGGUUGGUUUUUUAAUAUAAUUGAUCUACAAACAUUAUGUUAAUCUCCAUUACAGAACAUAAUGAUUCAAUAUUUCUAUUCAUUCAAUCACUGUGAUAAAUCUAGUUGCAAUAUGACACUAUACAAAGAUAUUACAUAGUUAUUGACUGUAUUCUCCACACUGUCCUUUUCAAACCCCUAACUCAUUUAAAACUUUAAAUA